rnacentral:lncRNA from 1 species
UUUGUUCUUGCGCAGAGAUUCACGCUGGGAGGUGUGGUUUUCGGGCUGGUUUUAUGUUUGUCGGGCGCGGUUUUUAUUUCGUCCCAACCCGUUAAGGCCGCCCCGGUCCUUCACCGUCAUGUUUUUCCCUUUUUUGAUUUUUCUCUGUGUCUUUUUUCCAUUUUCAUUUGGGUGGCCACGUGAAAAGAAGGCAGAGAGGAGGGUGAGAGAGGAAGAGGUGCUCCACAGCUCGAGCGGCGGAGGAGCGGAGGCGAUUCCUGUGGUUCAUGUUGAUUCCGAGAUACUCUUUCGCUCGAGCUUGAUUGCUCUUCCCUUUCUCUUCAUUCCUCGGCUGCCCAGUUGUUUUUUCUCGUCUCUCUCUUCCCUGUGUGAUCUAGGUCUCUCCUUUGUUUCUGCUAGUGUAGCUUCGAGAUCUAUGUCUGUUCUGGUGUUGGAUUGAUGGAUGGUGUAUGUUGCUGCCCGUGUUUGGUGUAGGUUUCGUUGCUCUUGUAGAUUUGCCCCAUGGCUCCCGAUGUGUUUGUGUAAGAUCUAUGUAAUCGAUGUGAUUCCUCUAUUUAGGCCUUUAGCUAUUUCUUGUUUGAAUCCCCUCGGGUGUAGGCGCUGGUAGGUGUUUCGCUUCAUGUAGUCGUUGGUAGGAGUCUAGAUUUAUGGAUUUUGUUGGGGGUUUUCUUGUGGUUAGGGUUGGUGAUUUUGCUCUGGUAGGGGGCCUCUGUAUUGCUUCGUGUGGCUCAUCCUUGGGGUUAUCCCUUGUAUCCUCUUGAUUUUUCGUUCUAGAUGUAUGUAAUUUAGGGUAGGUUAGAUGUAGGUGUUUGUUUCCCUGGUUUAGGAUUUCCUCAGUAUAUCAUAAUUUUAGAGAUUAGUACUGCUAUAUUUUCUUUGCCAGUAUGAUUCUUCAGUGGAUGUCCCUGAUUGUGUUUUUUUCGGUAAUCCCCUGUGUUCUAGCCCUGCUAUUGCCCUUAUGUUGUCAGUCUUAGACCCCUCCAGUGCAUUUUUUCAAUUUCCUUUGUAUUAGAUUGCAAGCUUAGAUAUUAAUGUGUACUUUAAGUAGUAUUUUCGUCGUUAAAUCCUGUGCACUUAGUCAUUGACAGCAUUUUUCAUGUGCUUACACCGUAGUUCAUGUUCUUGCCCUGAAUUUUUGUGUAGGGUUUUCAUUACACUGUAAUAUUCAUAUGAUUUUGUAGUGUAAUUCCCAUGCUUAGUCAGUGUAUUUUUUAGAUAUAUUACAAUGUCAUUUACCCCCGAAUUACACUGUAAUUCCCAUGAAUUUCCUCUUUAUUUUCAUUUUUCUUAGGCUACUUCUUUUACACUGUAAUAUUCAUCUGAUUUGCAGUGUAAUUCCCAUGCUUAGUCACUGUAUUUUUUAGUUAUAUUACAAUGUAAUUUACCCCAGAAUUCCACUGUAAUUCCCAUGAAUUUCAUGUAGGUUUUCAUUUCUUAGGCUUCUUCAUCACACUAAGUGUAAUUUUCAGAACUAUGGUCCCUCUAGGCUACUAGGUUUGAUGUGUAUUGCAUCCAUUUUUAGAACUUUUUUUGGUCUGCUGCUUAACUUGCGAUUUCACAGCAAGUGUAAUUUCAGGGGCAAUCAAUACUGUAAAUUCAGGUCAAUUAUAAUGGAAAUCAGUGUAAUUUCAGUGCACUUGCACUGUAAUUUGAGGAGUUUUACAGUGUAAAUUUAGGGAAAUUACUACUGUAAUUCAUGUACAAUAUUCAGUGUAAUUUGCAGGGCAAUUACUGUGUAAAUCAGAGGGAAAUUACACUGUAAUUCACUAAUUCUUGUGCAACUCACUGUAAGUCACAGGGCAGUUACAAUAUAAUUUUCAUGGCUAUUUUGUUUGGUUUGUCUUUGUUGGGUAACAUCUCUUUUCUAGAUAGUUUUAGGGGUUUGUUAACGUCAGGUGAUACUGUCAAAACUACAAAUCUACGGAUUUGUAAUGUAAUUCAACUUCACAUUUACACUGUAACUCCACCGUAGAACUGUAAAUAUACUAGUGUAAUUCAACUGAUUCACUACUAUAAAUUACAAAUGAGGUUCACAAACCUGUACUAAUUUAUAGUGGUAUAAUCUAUAGUUCUUACAGUGGUUAUAUGCAGCAGUUUUUUUCAUAAUUUUCAAGGUGUACUCAUGUUAAUUACAAUGCUAUUUUUGUUCUACUGUUGAUCUACUCUGUUUUCAUGUACACCCCCCCUCUUUGUUCUGGUGGUUUGGCAGCGAGUCUAGUUGAGUGCAACCCGUUUGGCCACUGUAAUAUUUACACAGUAUUUUCUUAGAAGUCCUAGUAGUAAUGCCACUGUAAUAUUUACACAGUAUCAGUAAAGUUCUGUGUAAAUACAAUCACCGAUUAUCUAUAAGUUCCUAUCAUAAUGUCACUGUAAUGUUCAAACAGUAUGUAUGUAAGUACUGUGUAAAUACACUGUAAUUUUUAAGAAGUUUCAGUGCUAAAUUUGACUUAAGUUGUGUGUAUCUAGAUUGUAGCUCUUAAGAUACACUGCAAGUAGACUCUAAGUAGACUAUAAUGAUAGUGUAAUUAUCACUGUAAUUUUCUCUCUCUCAAAUGACAGUGUAAGUUCUGUGUGAAUCCACUGUGAUCAUUGUUUUCAUACUUUCUGUAAGUUCCGGUCAUAAUGUCACUGUAAUAAUCACACGGUACGAGUGUAAGUUCUGUGUAAAUGCACUGUAAUUCUAGAAGUUCCAGUGCUAAUUUGACUUGCAAAUUUUGUCUAUUUUAGACUUCAACUCUUAAGAUAUCAUUGUAACUGUAAGUAGACUGCAAGUUACCAACAGAUUAUAAUGGCGGUCUAAUUAUCACUGCAAUUUUCUCCCAAAUGACUGUAAGUGGACAGUAUGUUGACGCCACUGAUGCCAGACCUACAAAUAGUAGGUUAAUGGAUCUGUAGGGCUUUUUUGGGCUAUGGUAUUGCGAUAGUUGUAGCUCACAUUUGUUUGAAACCGGGUUCAGUUCCAACCCGGUUAGGAUUGACAUUUUAGCAUUGACAUGCACAUAGCGGAGAUACACAAAAAGGAGAUGCACAAAUACGUACAAGUGUCAUCUUAUUAUUGGUUGGAAAACUUGACUGAUGCCUAAAUGAUUUUCAGUCAAACGUCAAAUAGACACUCCCAAUAACUAAAAUAAUGAUGGAGAAUCAAGGCUGGGACUACUUCAGGUUGAUUAAACAAGACACCCAAGUGCGGCUCCUGGUGGUCGAUGCAAAGAGACAGUGCUAGAUGAUAUACAAUAAACUCAUCGGAGACCGGAGUCCGCGAGGAUGAGGGACACGACCCAUUGAAAAACUGAUGGAUGCGUGGUUAUUUGUUUGGCUGUCAAGGCCAUCACUUGGUCGAAUUGCCGUGCAGUCGCUUCAUCCGAAAAGUACAUCAGGUGAUAUCCAUCCUAUCUUUUUCAUCUAUAUACAAUAAUAUGUCUACGAACAGGUAACCUGGCUGGUAAUAUUUUUGCGCAGGACAAUUAUUCAUCACAAAAGUGAUGCCAUGCGGCGGAUAUGGAGCGGGUGCUAGCAUCAUUAUGCAAUGGCGUCCGCGCCCACUUGUUGUUCUAUGGGCAUGCGCAAGUCACCGCCCCUGCGGCCUGGUCUACAAUUGACUCACUAGGACCGCGACUGCGUGCUACUUAAUGGGUGUGCGCAAGCCGCCACCCGCGCGGCUCAUACUACAUCAACACAAUGCGGCUAACUUGCCCGUCCGCACGGUUUACCGCGCGCUUCACCGUGGUGAUCAACUAAUCAUCAACUCCGCGGUGGAUAAUUUCUGGCCUGACAUAUCAGGUGAAAUCCAUCUAGUAUAUUUUUAUAUUACAUAUUGCUUUCUUUAAAAGAACAAUUGCUCUGGCUUGCAAGUUAUCCAAUGUAGGACAAGUUGUUUACUGCAAAAGGGACUAUUAUAUCACUGAGCUGUUGAAUGACUCAUACCGGUUUAUAUCACGGUCAAAUAUGGAGAAUCUCAAGACAACUCCUCGAGUCGUUUUAAGACUCGGGGGCUACAAUGAUAUGACUCGGCGGAAUUGGACGGUUUCAAAAAAUUCAAGAACUCCGGGUAAUUGGAGGAAAAAAUAACCCGACCUCGGAGGCUACCGCCCUAUUGGUGAAAAUUUAAAGGCCGUCAGAAAAUUUCCGGCUCAAAAUGAAGAUUCCGGUUUAAAUCCGGCUCAAGAGACAUCUCUCUCCCAUAAAGCUUAAGCUCUCAAUAUCCGGUUUAAAAUUCCGGUUCAAAAAGAAUUCAUCUCUCGCAAGUUCGAGUUCUCAGAAAAAUUAAAGGUUGCCAAAGAGAACUUGCUGCCAUGAUGCGCGGUUCAAACAUGGGUGUCCUGCCUUAUUGGCUUAUCUUAUUGGUCACUUGGGGGCUUCGUGUUCAAACAUAGGUGUAUUCACCAAAGAGAACAUAGCGUUACUACCCUUUUGAUCCAGUGCAACGCCACAAUUAUGGUCACUUGGGGGCUUCCUGAUCGUAUUCGAAUCAUAGCGUUACUACCCUCUUGACCGAAUAUGUCACUUGGUGGCCUCCUGUUCAAACAUAGGUGUAUUCACCAAAGAGAACAUAACGUUACUACCCACUUGAUCAUGGUAAUUCGGCUAUCAAGCCAAUAUGAUAAUGUCAUAAGAGCACAGCUCUGGUUAUCUUGGUAAUUCGGCUACCAAGCCAAUAUGAUAAUUUCAUAAGAGCACAGCUCUAGUUAUCUUGGUAAUUCGGCUACCAAGCCAAUAUGAUAAAUUCAUAAGAGCACAGUUAUGAUUAACUUGAUAAUUCGGCUACUAAGCCAAUAUGAUAAUUUCAUAAGAGCACAGCUCUAAUUACCUUGAUAAUCCGGCUACCAAGCCAAUAUGAUAAUUUCAUGAGAGCACAGCUCUGAUUACCUUGGGAUUUCGGCUAUCAAGCCAGUAUUAUAACUUCAUAUGAGUAUAGCUCUGACCUACUUGGCGAGUUAAUGACCGGAUUACAAAGACCAAAGAGAGUCUGUUGCACAACACGGCUCAAACAUAGGUAUAUGGUGAACCGGCAACAUAUGAUAAUAUUAAGUCAUUGGAAGUAUUGUCCUCUAAGUUUUGGGUUAUUACCCUUACUGCAUUGGUAUAAUAAGCUGGCAGUAUGAGCAAAUAUCACAGGUAUAAUAUUUUGUUAUGAUUAUAUAAGGUUGUGAUUAAACCGGCCUUGGCUUUAGACGUUAAGUCGCCAGGGCAUAUGUUGUUUAAACUCUGUACAGGAUUUGCAGAACUAUGGUUUAUAUAAAUGAUUAAGUUCAAGCUCAUCAUCAAAAUUGAUGUUUCAAAAGGGUUAUCCAUUCUGGAUUUUCUCAAAGGCUAUAAGCCGUUGAGUUAUAAAAAUUCCGGCUUACAAUGAAUGUGCAUUAAGUCGCCAUUGGCCAAGAGCCGCUGAGUAUUUAAACUCCGGAUUUACUUGUGAACCGAUAAGGUAUUCACAUCUUUCAUAGCCAAAGUUGGAUGGAUUUUCAUGAUGAUAUUAAAUGAUUGAGCUUUUCAUACCGGAUUAUAUUAUUCAAAUCUUGAAUAGCCAACAUGGCUGGAUUUUUAUUAUGGUUAUCAAUGACCAAUAUUAUGAUUGAGGUUUUCAAAGUCGCUUUAGCGCAAUGACUAUUAUUUUAUCAAUGGAUAUGAUUUAUUCUACAAUGGAAGGAAUAGUCCCGAGUCGCUGCAGGCUUACGACCCUGCAGUUGGGGGCUACAUUCUUUUAAGUUGAGAUUAUGUCAAAUAUGCAAGUCCCAUGUCACUGACAGCAUGCACCAUGGCACUUGGGGGCUAAUGCAAAGUCAUUUUUUACUUGCCUUAUUGAAGACCCGACUCAUCACAUAGUAAUGAGCCGGCCCUUGGGGACUACCAAUUGCUCCUGUCAAAAAUCCAAGGUACACAAGCUUUAAUCCAUUAUAUUGAAAGGUCCACUACUCAGUUGGUAAAGUAUAAGGCUCUUAACCUUGUGGACGUGGGUUCGAGCCCCAUGGUGAGGAUUACAUCAUAUGAUAUGAAGUAUAUAUGAAGUCCCAACUCAGUAUUAUCUUACUAAGCCGACCCUUGGGGGCUACACCGGUUGAAGUUUUUAUGAGCAUAAGGCGAUUACAAGUCCCAGGUUGCUGCAAGCAUGACAACCCGGCACUUGGGGGCUACAUAUGUGGAAUAUUUAGUUUGACUAGUGACUGAGCUGAACAAAUCGGAUUUCUUCAAGGUUGUGACAUUUAUACUGAAGCAAGUCUUAAGCUGUUGCUACGCUACCUUCUUAAGACUUGGGGGCCACAAGUGAUAUGCAUAUAAGAGGUACAUUUUCAAGCUUGAUGUUAACUACAAUUAUAACCCAGUGUCAUCAAUAUUUACAAGCCGACAAUUUUGGCAAUGAUAAACAGGCAAGUUUUACAUCUUCAAGCCAGCUGAAGAAUUAGAUGAGUAUUUCAAAGACCAAUAUUUUUUAAGCAUUGGGAGCUGAGUCAAAUGAAUUAUUCUUCACAAUUUUUCUCUGUGAGAAACCAAUGUCAGCAAAUUGAUUAUGAAGCUGGCCUAUUGACCCGGAUUUUCUAGAAGAAGGAAAUGACAAAGAAUUAAGGAUAAUCAGGUGCCGGCUUACAAGAGUUCUUAACCCGGAGCAUAAUCUAUCAAAAUUGUUCUUGUGUUUGUUUUACAGGAUUAGUUUAACAUGGAUAAAUCCAAAAUUAAACUGGGUGAUAAUGUCGGGGAUAUACCCCACGGUAUGACCCGGCCGGAGAUAUGACCCGGCUGGGACUUGGUGUUUCAUUGGUAAGCCGACAGAUCGUAAGCCGGCAGAUGUUAAGUCAGAUCGUAAGCCGGCAGAUGUUAAGUCAGAUCGUAAGCCGACAGAUGUUAAGUCAUAUGGUAAGCCGGCAGAUGUUAAGUCAGAUGGUAAGCCGACAGAUGUUAAGCCAGACGGUAAGCCAGAUGGUAAGCUAGAUGGUAAGUCAGAUUGUAACAGGGUCGCCUGGAGUUAAGAAGCCCAUGACGUUAAGAAGCCCUAGACGUUAAGAAGCCCAUGGAGAGAAGCCCAUGAAGAGAAGUCAGAAUAGUUUAAGUCUUAAUCCGAGUUGGACUCUACAUGUAACCUUCCCCUUCAACUUAUAUAAGGAGGGGCAGGGCACUCCAAGAGGGAUAGAAAAUAAUCGUUAAGGCUAGACACAACUAGGAGAGCCGGUUUACGGCGACUCCCUCAUGAGCAUAAUGAGAUCUAGCCACAAACAACAUGUAGGGCUAUUACCGGAUGAUGCUUCCCGGGGUCCGAAGCUGUCUAAAUCCUUGUCUUGUGUGUUGAUCCGCCUCGCGUCUCUCGAUUCCGACCAACCCCUCCAAGCUACCGCGUAGAUGCCUUGGCCUCACGACUAAGUCCUCACACUAGGACAUCUGCCGUGAUAAUUCCACGACAAUUCCCAAGGUGAUGGACGAGGCCAUUAUCUCAGCAUUCUCUGAUGGCGUUCGCGAUAUCAAGAUGAAGGAGGGACUCGCCAUACACGAGGACCUGUGCACGGCUUUGGAGAUGUUCAACAUGGCGACCAAGUGCGCAAGAGCUAAGGAGGGACGCCUUUCCCUCCUCGAGCUUCCAGCUGCCGACCCAGAAGACAAGAAGGUCAAGACCAAAGAUGUGAAGCGCAAGGGGGCUGCCGUGCUCGCGGCAGAACCAGAGAUGAAGCGCGGCUGCGACCACCCCGAGUCAUCCAAGGGCAACCGCCCGUUCUGCGUCUUCCACAACGUACACAGUCACAAUACGAACGACUACCAGGAGCUCAGGGCCAUCCGCGAUGAGCGCUUCGGUUGACGCCCCAAGCGCAAUGACCGAGGCUACGGCCACGGAGAAGGCAGAAGUGGGGGGGGGGUGCUGGGACGACCGCGGCCCCCGCCAGGAGUGGUGCGACCGACCUCGUGAGGACCACUGGCAGGACCAACCUCGCGAGGGUGCCUGGAGGAACCAGCCUCGCGAGGACCAUCCUUAGGGCAAGGCCGGGCUCCCUCCGCUGCCACCACCACCGAGGAGGAACAAGGACCACCACCAGGACGAGGGGGCUGGGGGCUUCCAGGAGCCUCGCGCCAUCGCCUACAUCUCGGGUGGCGCUCAGGUCCCAGCCUCCCAGCGCAACAUUAAGCAGUUUGCUCGUGAGGUAAACAUGGCCCUCCCUAGGCUCGAGGCCAUGCGCCUGCUCAGGUGGUCCAAGUGCACCAUCACCUUCAGCUCCUCUGACCAGCUCAAGUGCGCAGCAACUGCCGGCGCCCUCCGGAUGCUCUGCCCGCCCAUCAUCAGCAAUGUCCUUGUCACCAAGACCCUCAUCGAUGGCGGUGCGGGACUCAAUGUUCUUUCCAUCGAGACAUUCGACCGCCUCCAAGUGCCAUAUGAUCAGCUACAGCCCACCAAGUCCUUCUCAGGAGUGACCGACGGCUCCACCACCCCGACAAGGCAGAUCCGCCUCCCUAUCACCUUCGGCCAGCGCGACAACUACCACACCAAGCUCAUUGACUUUGACAUCGCCCACAUUCGCCUGCCGUACAAUGCCAUCCUUGGGUAUCCGGCCCUGGCCUCCUUCUUCAACUCCCCUAGGAGGUUGCGCUCUGCGGCCUGCUCCCACGCCGACUGCUCCAGCUUGGUGUCACGACCGGCUACCGCGUCUUCUCGAGCUUUUAGCUUAUCCUCCCGGGCCUCGCGCUAACGGGCCUCGGCGGCGUGCUCGUUGCGCAGGGUCUCCAGCUCGGCCUCCGCCAUCCGGCAACGCUCCUUGGCAGCCUCGACAUCCUUCGACGCCUCCUCGCGGGCGGCCGCGGCCAGGUCGGCAGCCUUCUUACCAUCCUCGGAGGCUGCCACGGCCUGGCUCCAUGCCGCCCUCACGGACGCAUCGGAUCGCAGCCACCCCGAGACCAACUCCAGCCACCCCGACGCCAGCCGGCGGUCGACGCUUUGAAGGUCGACACGAAGCUGGGUCAGCGCAGAAAGAGCAUCCUCUAGAGCAUCGGGCGAAGCAGGAGGGUCAUGGCCUAGUGGCACGAUGGGAAGAGGUGGUGUCGGCGCCAAAGCCUGCAAGUCAGCAGCAGAAAGGGCCGGGGGCUCCUGAGCCUUCGCGAUCUCAGCAGGCGAGCGAGUGGCGGGAGCCUCCGGAGCUGGCCUGGAUGUAGAGAUCACCUUCUCCUGAGGACGGGCCUCCACAUCUCGUGAAGAUGACCCGGCCGCUGAGGCUCUUCUUCUUCUUCACCGCCGAUGUUGGCCCAACAAUGUAAUGGGAAGGCGUCAAGAAACUAUGGCAAGGAAAGGAACAAAGGAUCAGGGUGGAGCGCUUACUGGUCCACAGCGGCGUACUCCCUCGGCCUCUUCUGGAGCACCAGGCCCGAAGGCUUUGCGGGCUGGGACACCGGCACGCGAGCUCCGGUGGCAGACAAGGGUGCGGCGGCCGAGCCCAUAGCAGCGCCGGCCGGUGACGAAGCGGAGGCAUCGCCUCGGGAGAUCAUCGUCGAUCUGCUCUUUUUCAGGGCCCCGGCCUGCGGCUUCUUCGGGGGCGUGCCCCUGGACCUUGUGGUGACCCCGGCAGGGUGCGACGACUCCCUCACCGGAUGCUCACCAGCGUCGUCGUCGUCAGGGAGUGUGCGGAGGAGAUCUGCCAGGCGCGGAGGAGAAGUCUCCCCCUCCCCCUCCCGGGCUGCCUCCAAGUCCGACCUCUCCUCCUGGAUGGACUCACCGGAGGACACCACCACCGGUGCUCCAGUGGGCGCCGAUGGCACGAGCUCACGCUCAUUGAAGACGGGCAUGGCGGCGGCGAUCUUCGCCCCAUCCGGGCGGCAGUACAGCGGAAGAUGGGUAUCAGGCGGAUACCCUUGGUCCUCCCUGACCAGGAAGCGGAGGGCCUUGUCCGGCUCCUCGUCGGACAAGGCGUCCGGGCGCAGUCGAAGGUCGCCUCCCUCGUCCAUGAGCUUCCACAUGGGGCGCGAGCGCGCCUGGAGUGGAGCCAAGCGCCGCGCCAGGAACUCCUUGACAAUCAUGGCCCCCGUCAGCUUCUUCGCCUUCGGGUCGUCAGGCUUCAGGUCAGCCGCCAUCCUCCUCAACAUCUGCUCCGCCCGGGGGCCGGUGAGCUUCGCGCUAUUCCAUCCCUCAUGAGGGGUUGGCUUCCCCGUCGGCAGCACCAGUCGAGGGUAGGGGCUCUUGGCAUCCAUGAGGACCCACUUGUUCCUGAAGCCAUCCACCUUUCUCCCGGCUCUCGAGAUGGCGUUGGUCCCAUUGGUCGGACAAAGUUGGCACACCCCGAGCACUGGCCCCCCUUGUUCCGGAGAUAGAAGAAGUGGCGAAGCAGCGCCACGGACGACAUCACCCCCAUGAAAGCUUCGCAGUAAAAGGAGAAGAUCGACAGAGGGAGGAAGGAGUUGGGAUGAAGAUGGAGGGCGUGCAGCUUGUAAUGGCAGAGGACGGCGUAGAAAAAUUUAGAGAAAGGGGAGACCAGCCCCGCAAAGACGCUGUGCAUGAAGAAGGGGUAGAGGGUACUACCCGAGGCCUCCGGUUCAGCGGAGCCGGCCCGAAGCGUGGUAUUUCCCCCCUCGUUGCUGUCACCCGCCGCCAUCAGGAGUGCGGCGGCGAGGUUCUUCUCCGAGACUGUGGACGCACCCAGGGCGGGCUCGAAGCAGGAGCUCGAGCGCGCGGCCUUAGCCUUGUCGGUGGCCAUCGGCUACAACCUCGGGGAAAAGUUUUGAUGGAUCUGGAGUCUCCUUGGGCGAGAAGGAGAAGGGGGUUUAGAGCAAGACGAAGGGAGAGCAAUGAAAGCCCUGUGGUGGGCGUCGGCCUUUUGUCAGGCAAGGACGGUUGCCGAGGCAACAUGGGGAAGCGGAGGUGCCCACGUCCCAUCAAUCGCCACACGUCCAUCAAGGCCGCAGGCGGUUGGGGCCCGCGGCGCUCCGCACUUGCCCUUUGGAUUCGGCUCGAAGCCAAGUUCGAGAGCGCCUUGGGCUCGGGGGCUACUGUCGGCGUUCUGGGACCCGGGGUGCCCAGACUUGCCUACCUGCGGCCCAUGGCAUGGCUCCACCGGCGGCCCGGUACGGCCCAGCUUCAGUAGCAAGAACUCAAGACCCUCGCGAGGCGGACGGCACCAAGACCUCCAGGGGGCGGCCUCACUAGUAUGGAUCCUGAGGAGCGAAGAUAUCUAUGGAAGGUGCACCUCGUGAGGUUCACAUGACGUGAGCCAUGACGACCAAGGCCAGGGGGCGCCAGCGGGUGCCCAGGGAGGCAAGCGCAGGCACGGGGUCCCGAGGCAUCAGGCAAAGGUUUCCAUAUCGGUGCAACAAGACCAAGACCGCCAGGACGGCAGGACGGAGGUCAUCGUAGAGCCCACGGCAGCGUCACCACCAGAGCCUUUUGCAGGCGAAGACUGCUUUUGUCAGGAUAGCUUGUACUAGUUGUCUCCCUUCAAAUCUGGCCGUUGUGGGAACCCUUCCCGCCUAACAUUUGGGAAGAGGACCAAGGCCACUAUAAAUAGGACCUAGCCACCACCAUAGCAAGGGGUCGGAUGAUCCUCACAUCCACCCGCUCAUCGAGCUCAAGAACACCAAACCUCCUGAGGCUGUUCACCCACUGUACUAGAUCAUCCUGAGCCCCUCGAGGCAAUCCACCACAAAGCUGGAGUAGGGUAUUACACCACAAGGUGGCCCGAACCAGGAUAAAUCUCUAUGUCUCUCUGUUCUUCGGGUUCGUCGAGCUAGGCCGUGAGAUCGUUUAGCGAGCGAGCUAGGGAGAGAGUGUUCUUCGUGCACACCCCAGAGUUCGAACCUUUCAAGGGUUUGCCGGAACCCGUAAUCCGACAGGGCAGGGACCCAAUUUUUCUCUCUGGACAACAACCUUUCCCCUCCCUCUCCACCUCCACUCUCUUCCAGAGAUCACACAAGGCAUCCAAUUCUACUUCCCAUUGUUUGCUCCCCCUGCAGCUCCCAGACACAAGUGGUCGCGCCCAUUCCGCAAAACGGCAUGCCAUGCCAGCCAAAGACACGCUCUGGAGCACGUCAUCACGCUCCCGACCGUUGACACCGCGUUCCCAACCACCUCGGGCCUCCCCUGCACACCAGUCGAGGACCUCGACGUCCAGAACACGACAGCCGCGUCGGCCCCCUCUUCUCUUCCUCUCUCUCGCCCCUGCGGCGUGUGCCCGAGCGCUGCCCUUGUCCGCCAGUCGCUGCCCACGACCCUGGCCCUCCUCGCGCUCGCUACCCUCUCCCUCUCUCUUUCCCUGGUCGUAGACCACCCCCAGGAAGACCCCCUACUCGAAGUCGAGCACUCCCGUGGCCCCAAGCGACGGCUACGACCUCGCUGGCGCAUGAGCCCACGGUGCACCUCGCCCCUUUCUAUUUAAGGCCACCUCGAGUCCCCUCUCUACUCCUUUGGCCCUCUCUCCCUCCUGUGCCCCCCUGGACUGACUGAUAGAGGCAAAGGUGUCCUGAUGUUUUGAUGAGAUGGUGGCUAUCAUUUUGUGUGGGAGUCGACCUUGACGAUCCGACUACGAACGUGCGAGACGUCGCGCCUUAGCAAUCGCUAAACCAACUUCCGAGGGUUAUUGACCACGCCGGAGCACGAUCAACCUGACCAUGAGGGCCUGUUUCCUGCGAGUAAACGAAGAACAAGCAAGAAACUAAGAUUGCAAUCUGGUUAUUGCGAAUAUAAGAGGAAAUAUUUAUUAAUGAAGGUGGGGUUCUGUGACGUCUUGGUCUGGUCGUUGAACACAAACGAAGUACACGAAGUUGCAACUAUGGCGAACUUUUGAUCUAAAAAAAACCCCAAAGUCUAAACGAUGCCCUAGGGGCUGUAUAUAUGGAGGAAGAGGAGGGGAAUUUCAUGGUCCUUGGAGGAGGGGUCCGAAACCCACCCUAACUCUUGUUUCCCCACACAUACGGACUCUAAAAACAGCCUAUAUUGAAGUAUUUCGAAAUUACAUGGGCCUGGCCCAAAAAUAAGGUGACGCAACACCUAGAAUAGCCUCUGGACGAAAAUUAUGAAGUGGCAUCUUGUAUGUUUCAUCCAAGGCUUCAUGCACUCAUUAUGGUGGCUUCAAAGUCCUGAAAUCAUCACUUGAAACUCUGUUCUUGUCUCCCUUGCGCAUGCCAUCAAGUCCAUGCUUGUUCUUGCUCCAGUGUUCAUCCUUCUCCAAGCUAGGCCCUUCAUUUGUAAGCAAAACAAAUGUAUCCAAUUUAGGCAGCAUCAUAUUCUCAUGAACAUUAGAAUCAUUACCAAGAAACGAAAGUACUUGAUAAUUUAAUUGGCGUGCGCGAGCUCUAGUAAUCGGUCCAAUAUGUAUAGUAGCAGGGGUUGUGGGUGUAACAAUGGUAUUGAUGUCCUCAUCAUCCUCCCCUUCCUGAAUUGAAGUCGUCCUCGACGAAAGCUCUUCUUCCUCACCCAAAUAAGGCUUCAAAUCUGCAAUGUUAAAUGUGGGACUAACCCCAAAAUCUGCAGGCAGCUCAAGUUUAUAUGCAUUAUCAUUUAUUUUCUCUAACACCUUAAAAGGACCAUCAGCAUGUGGCAUUAGCUUUGAUUUGCGCAAAUUAGGAAACCUAUCCUUACGCAGAUGUAACCAAACAAGAUCUCCAGGUGCAAAGACAACAUGUUUUCUACCCUUAUCUCCAGCAAGUUUAUAUUUAGCAUUCAUACGCUCAAUGUUUUCCUUAGUUAACUCAUGCAUUUUUAAGACCAAUUCAGCACGUUGUUUAGCAUCAAAAUUAACCUUCUCCGAAGAUGGAAGAGGCAACAAAUCAAUGGGUGUACGAGGUAGGAAACCAUACACAAUUUCAAAAGGGCACAUCUUAGUAGUAGAAUGCAACGAACGAUUAUAAGCAAUUUUUUUCUUAUUAUUCUUCAAAAUAGCCGUAAGCAUAGUAGACAAUGUUCUAUUGACUACUUCAGUUUGACCAUCAGUUUGGGGGUGACAAGUAGUACUAAAAAGCAGUUUAGUCCCCAACAUAGCCCAUAAACAUCUCCAAAAGUGGCUAAGAAAUUUAGUAUCACGAUCUGAAACAAUAGUAUUUGGCACACCAUGCAAGCGAAUAAUUUCACGAAAGAACAAAUCAGCAACAUUAACAGCAUCAUCGCUUUUAUGACAUGGUAUAAAUUGUGCCAUUUUCGAGAACCUAUCCACGACAACAAAUAUGCUAUCCCUCCCCUUCUUUGUUUGAGGUAAACCUAAAACAAAGUCCAUAGAUAUAUCCUCCCAAGAAACACUAGGUACAGGCAAAGGCAUAUAUAAACCAUGAGGAUUGAGUCGUGACUUAGCUUUUUGACAUGUAGUGCAGCGAGCAACAAAACGCUCAACAUCCCGUCUCAUCUUUGGCCAAAAGAAAGGUGUAGCUAGUAUAUCCUCUGUCUUCUUCACGCCAAAGUGUCCCAUUAGUCCUCCUACAUGUGCCUCCUGCAACAACAAAAGACGAACGGAGCUAGCUGGAAUGCAUAACUUGUUAGCACGAAACACAAAUCCAUCGUUAACGACAAAAUUGUUCCAUGUUCUACCUUCUUUACAAUUCUGCAAUACAUCUUUAAAUUCAGCAUCAUGCACAUAUUGAUCUUUGAUGGUCUCCAAACCAAAUAUUUUAAAGUCAAGUUGUGAAAGCAUAGUAUAACGACGAGACAAUGCAUCAGCAAUAACAUUUUCUUUACCCUUCUUGUGUUUAAUGACAUAAGGGAAAGUCUCAGUGAAUUCAACCCAUUUAGCAUGUCUACGGUUCAGUUUUGCUUGACUUUUAAUGUGUUUCAAAGAUUCGUGAUCAGAAUGUAUAACAAAUUCUUUGGGCCAUAAAUAAUGUUGCCAUGUUUCUAAGGUCCGAACAAGAGCAUAUAAUUCUUUAUCAUAAGUAGAAUAGUUCAGACUAGGCCCACUCAAUUUUUCAGAAAAGUAUGCAACAGGUUUGCCAUCUUGUAAUAACACACCUCCUAAUCCAAUUCCACUAGCAUCACAUUCAAGCUCAAAAGUCUUAUUAAAAUCAGGAAGUUGGAGUAAAGGAGCAUGUGUCAACUUAUCUUUCAAUAUCGUGAAGGCUUCUUCCUGUGUGGUACCCCAAACAAAAGGCAGAUCCUUCUUUGUAAGCUCAUUGAGAGGUGCAGCAAUGGUGCUAAAAUCUCUCACAAAACGCCUAUAGAAACCAACGAGUCCAAGAAAACUCCUCACUUGUGUGACCAUUUUGGGCUGCGGCCAACUCUCAAUAGCUUCAAUCUUGGCUUUAUCAACUUCAAUUCCCUGUGGAGUAACAACAUAGCCAAGAAAAGAUACUCGAUCGGUGCAAAAGGUGCACUUCCCAAGGUUACCAAACAAACGUACAUCACGUAGAGCAAUAAAAACAGCACGUAAAUGUUCCAAAUGUUCUUCCAAAGAUUUGCUAUAAAUCAGUAUAUCAUCAAAAUAGACUACCACAAAUCGUCCAAUGAAAGCACGUAAAACUUCGUUCAUUAGUCUCAUGAAAAUACUAGGUGCAUUAGUUAACCCAAAAGGCAUGACUAACCACUCAUAUAAACCAAACUUAGUUUUAAAUGCUGUUUUCCAUUCAUCUCCCAAUUUCAUAUGAAUUUGAUGGUAUCCACUACGCAAAUCAACUUUGGAGAAUAUUGUAGAGCCACUCAAUUCAUCAAGCAUAUCAUCUAGCCUAGGAAUAGGAUGAGAUAACGAAUAGUAAUAUUAUUAAUGCCUCUACAAUCAACACACAUACACGACGUACCAUCCUUUUUAGGCACUAGUAUAAUAGGAAUAGCACAAGGACUAAGAGAUUCGCGUAUAUAACCUUUGUCGAGCAGCUCCUAUACUUGACGCAUAAUCUCCUUCGUCUCCUCUGGAUUGGUACGGUAUGGUGCACGGUUGGGUAGCGAUGCACAGGGAAUAAAGUCAAUUUGAUGCUCAAUACCUCGAAUAGGUGGUAAUCCCGUUGGCACGUCUUGUGGAAAGACGUCAGCGAACUCCUGCAAAAUGUUAGUGACAGCAGGGGGCAAAGAGGAAGGCACGUCCUCGAAUGAAAAUAAUGCCUCUUUGUACACAAAAGUAUAGCAAACAGAUUUGCUAAAAUCUAGCUCAUCAAUAUCAGAUUUGGUGGCAAGUAAACAUGCACUUUUCAAUUUAAUUUCAGAAGCAACACCAGAUGGUUUAUUAUUAGGCUUCAUUUGUUGCUCAAAUUCUUUUGCCACAAUCUGAUUUUCAGUCUUAUUUUUCUCCUGUUUUGCUUUAUUAGCUCUAUUAAUAACAUCUUUCAAUAUGGAAUCAGGAGUCAUAGGAAGCAAAGUAAUAUUUUUAUCCUUAUGAACAAGAGUAUACUGAUUGUUUCUACCAUGGUGUACAGAAUUUUUAUCAAAUUGCCAUGGUCUACCAAGUAAUAAGGAACAUGCUUGCAUAGGUACCACAUCACAAUCAACAUAAUCAACAUAUGUAGAGAUACUAAAAUGCACACGAACAAUACGUGUUACCUUAACCUUGCCGCUGUUGUUGAACCAUUGGAUGUAGUAAGGAUGUGGAUGUGGUCUUGUGGUGAGAGAUAGUUUCUCCACCAUCUCCAUGCUAGCCAAGUUGUUGCAGCUCCCUCCAUCUAUGAUGACGCGAAUAGAACGUUCCUUCACAACUCCUUUUGUAUGGAACAAAUUAUGCCUCUGAUUUUGCUCAGCUUGUGUAACCUGCACACUCAAAACAUGUUGAGCAACUAAACAUUCAUACAUGUCAGCAUCUUCAGCAUCCAUGUAUUGCAUCUCAUGAUCAGAAUCAUCUCCACCGUGUUCUUCAUGUGUAAUAAGAGCCAAAGUCUCCUCAUCAUAGUCACUAGCGGACUCAUACCCACCAUCCUCAAUAGCAAUCAUCACACGCUGAGAUUUGCAUUCUCUCGCAAAAUGUCCUCUUCCCUUACAACGACGACAAAUAAUAUCACUUGUGUGCCCUGUUGACGCCAUGGAAGAAGACCUCUGCGCAGGCCCGGCAGGUGUGCUCUUAGCAGAGAGUGGUGGUUGUGCCUGCUUUCUUGUAUCACGGCUGGAGGUGGCACCUGAUGGAGGUGAUGGUGCAAUGGAAGUAGAGGAUGCACGUGGUGUCCAUGAUGAAGGUCGACCUGCAUAAAAGUUAGUUCGCGCCAAUGCCUGUCGAUCCUGCACUUCACGUUCAGCUUUACAAGCAAGAUGGAAUAAACAAGUGAUAUUAUUAUACUCCUCAUACUCUAUCUGAAUCUCUCUAUUUAAUCCACCCAUAAAACGUGCAAGCAUAGCUUCAUUCUCCUCAACAAUACCACAUCUAAUCAUGCCAGUUUGUAAUUCCUGAUAAUAUUCUUCUACAGAAUUUUUUCCUCGUCUUAAAUGCUGCAAUUUUUGAAUUAAUUCACGUUGAUAAUAUGGUGGAACCCAACGAGUACGCAUAGCAGUUUUCAAAGCAGCCCAAGUAGCUGGAAUAGGAUAUAAUCUACAAUGUUCAGACCACCAAACACAUGCAAAGCUAGUGAAAGCACAAACAGCAGCAUGAACACGUUUUUCGAGACCUACUCAGGCAAGGAAACACGAAAUGGAAAAAAAGAUGGAUCUCGAAAACAAACCUAAUAUGAAAAGAACUCGGAUUGGUGGUGGAUAUAUGGUGGUAGGAUAUGGCAGCGGUGGUGGUAUAUGGUAGCGGUGGUGGUAUAUGGAUACGGAUUGGUGGUGGUAUAUGGAUACAGAUUCAGAGCGGUGGCGGAUAAGCGGUGGUGGUAGCUGGCAAGGGCGAUGAUGAUGGUGCGGCGGCGGCGUGACAACUUAUGACCAGAACUCGAAACUCUAAAAGACUAGACUCUAAGACCAGCAACUUGACACGAUGAUGCAACCGCAAAUUCAACAAAGCAAAAACCCUAAAAAGAUUAUGCAAAGGCUCAGAUUGGUUUGGAUAUGAUGAAAUAACCCUAAUUUUUUUGUGGCUUUUUCGUGGACUGUAGGUAUGAAGAACAAACUCGAUCUAAACUACGAAAAACUAUAAAAUCUCACCGUGCAACCUGAAAAUUUGAUACCACUUGAUAGAGGCAAAGGUGUCCCGAUGUUUCGAUGAGAUGGUUGCUAUCGUUUUCUGUGGGAUUCGACCUUGACGAUCUGACUACGAACGUGCGAGACGUCGCGCCUUAGCAAUCGCUAAACCAACUUCCGAGGGUUAUUGACCACGCCGGAGCACGAUCAACCUGACCAUGAGGGCAUGUUUCCUGCGAGCAAACGAAGAACAAGUAAGAAACUAAGAUUGCAAUCUGGAUAUUGCGAAUAUAAGAGGAAAGCUUUAUUAAUGAAGGUGGGGUUCUGUGACGUUUUGGUCUGGUCGUUGAAGACAAAUGAAGUACGCGAAGUUGCAACUAUGGCGAACUUUUGAUCUAAAGAAAACCCAAAGUCUAAACGAUGCCCUAGGGGCUGUAUAUAUGGAGGAAGAGGGGGAAAUUUCGUGGUCCUUGGAGGAGGGGUCCGAAACCCACCCUAACUCUUGUUUCCCCACACAUACGGACUCUAAAAACAGCCUAUAUUGAAGUAUUUCGAAAUUACAUGGGCCUGGCCCAAAAAUAAGGUGACGCAACAUCUAGAAUAGCCUCUGGACGAAAAUUAUGAAGUGGCAUCUUGUAUAUUUCGUCCAAGGCUUCAUGCACUCAUUAUGGUGGCUUCAAAGUCCUGAAAUCAUCACUUGAAACUCUGUUCUUCUCUCCCUUGCGCAUGCCAUCAAGUCCAUGCUUGUUCUUGCUCCAAUGUUCAUCCUUCUCCAAGCUAGGCCCUUCAUUUGUAAGCAAAACAAAUGUAUCCAAUUUAGGCAGCAUCAUAUUCUCAUGAACAUUAGAAUCAUUACCAAGAAACGAAAGUACCUGGUAAUUUAAUUGGCGUGCGCGAGCUCUAGUAAUCGGUCUAGUAUGUAUAGUAGCAGGGGUUGUGGGUGUAACAAUGGUAUUGAUGUCCUCAUCGCUGACCGACUCCCCUCCUCGUGCCCUCCAUAGCCUUCCAUGGCCGGAGAACCACCACUGGCCCCAGGCUAAAUUUGGGCUAUCCCUAGCCUCUCUUCUCUCCGUAGACACUCCUGUGCCCUCAUACAACCACUGCAAGGCCCUCCAUCUUUGUGUUCAUCCCCGGGAAGGCCAUGCGCUCACGGCCAAAGAUGGCCGACAGCCUCCCCCGCGGCCAUCCAAGCCAUCUGCACUACGGCCCUCCCCGGCGUGCGUGAAGCACAUGGAUGGAUGCGGCGUAGCCUCCUGAGCACGUCGGUGGGUGGAGCAUCGCCAGAGAUGCCCUGUAGCACCGGCUGCCGGCGUCAAACGCCUCCUCUAUCUCCCGUCGCGCCCACACAUGAGGUUGAGGGCGAACCUGCCAGCGGGCCCCGCGUGUCGGCCGGCCAGCGGGGCUGAACCGCUGACGGGAGGACCCCGCCCCGUUUAAGUGUAGACUGGCUCUGCCCGCUGCCGCCUUCGCUCGGGGAAAGCGUAUUUCCGCGAGUAUGCCUCCUACAUCAUCAGCCCGCGCGCGGCUGAGCUGCUCGGUCGACCCACUGCUAUCUCUCGCCCUGUGCAUUUGAUAAGGGUAAAGCUCUUUCCUUUUUCCUUUUCUUUUUCCAGUGAACUUCAAAAAUCAAUAAACAAUUCAAAUGAAGUCCAAAUUUGGUGACUCAAAUUCCUAGUGAAUCUAUAAAUCUUGAUCUAUCUCAUGGUGCAAUUUUCACAUUUCUCUAGAAAUAUUUCCUUCACAAUUAUUUUGCAAAUCCUAUUUUCCCAUUUCUGUUAUAAACGUUGGAAAAUCACGGAGAACCCAUUUUGGAUCCAAAUACCAUGAUUCAAAUUCCUAGAUACUUAUAAGUCCAUAACUUAGUUUUUGAAUAUUUUUCUCAAUACUUUCUGUGCCGCACAAAAUAAUGAGCUAGUUCUUCAUAUUUUUCAUCUUUGCAAAUUCAUAGGAAAUUCAUUUGAACUCCAAAUCCAGUAAAACGAACUCCUAGAUGCUUCUAAAAUCAUGCCUUGUUAAAUGGGUGCCCUUGCUCAUUUUACAAAAUAAUGUUUAUGUACACUCCUUGCAGAUCCAUCAAUCCCUUGAUUCCGUCAUAUUGUAAUGCUUAGAAAUAUCCACUGAUCCAUUUCCAAUGAAACCACUUUGGUUAUUUUUCAUAUAACUAGAGAAGUCCUAGAAAAGUCAAAUUAACAUUUUUUAGAGCACUUUUAUUUUUGCCUUGUUAUGUUGCUUAUUUUGUUUGUUUUUGACGUUAGUUGAUGAAGUAGACGGAAUGCUCGGAGAUGGACCAGAAGGAUUGAAGACCUUGUGAAGCCAGGCAAGCAGCCCUUUGACCAUGAUUCACCCCUCUUGUUCAUCAAUAAAUUUUCCGUAUGCAUGAUGAUGUUGUUGAAUAUGAGCUUGAUAUUAUGGUUGCAUUGAUGCAGGCCCAUUGGUACUUGGAUGUUCGUAGCUCUACCUUGUGCUAGAGAUGCGAUGAAAAAUACUUGAUAUUGACGCAUGCUGGUUGCAUCUAUGCCAUGAUCAUCUCUUGGUUACAAUCCUUUGAAAACCCCAUCGGGUGCCCCUAAUGCCCGUGGGUAAUGUUGAACUAGGUCACCUCUUGAUGAAGAAGUGGUGCACCGAAGCAACUGAAGAUGUGUUGUUUACAUAGACAGAUUAGAUUUAAGAUUUCUUGACCGUCCCAACCCUACAUGCGCAGCCACUCUACCCUUAUACGGGAAAGGCAUUAUUGAUUACCUAGUUCAUGCUAACAUGGAUGCCCACAUUACUAGUGACAGGAGUGGCGUGGUCACUCUCGGGACGGGGUCGUGCUAGGUAGGGCGGCCAUGACUAUUUUUACAGGGCACCGGACACACCGUUGGUACCCCGUGCUUGUGAUAUGUGAUGAAUAUGGGAGCGUGGCUCCACAAUUAUUAUUAUUAUUAUUAUUAUUAUUAUUAUUAUUAUUAUUAUUAUUAUUAUUAUUAUUAUUAUUAUUAUGUGACAAUGUUUGGCACGGGGGCUGCUACCAAUCGAGUGGACUCCUUGUUAGUCACGGCUAGGGAAAUGUAGUGAUCAGGUGCUUCCCCGAGUACUUGAGGUACUACAGGAUCGUGGAUGACACAAAAGCUUCCCGGAUCUUGUGGGUAAAGUGUGCAACCUCUGCAGAGUGUCAAACUAUUCGAAUAGCCAUGUCCACGGUCAGGACAGUUGGGUGGUGCUGCUUAGACUAUGUCCAUAAGUUUCUGAAAAACAACACACAUUGGAAAUAAUAUUGAGGCUGCGAAUCGUGAGGAAGGUCACGAUGGAAUAGAAAUGGAGUUGUGGAUAACUCUCCCUAUUUAUGUUGAUAUCUAUAGCCUCCUAUUGCAUGUUGGAGACUCAUGCAUGACCCCUAAAAAGGUAUUGAUCAUACAUGCUGCAUGAUGAAACUAGCAUUCCUAGAGAUGCCAUCUUCGACUUGAAACCAUGCUUAUUUAUCUUGUUAUCAUUUAUGGGUUGCUUGCGAGUACAUUCAAAUGUACUCACUGGCUUGUCCCUGGCAAUUUACUUGGCCAUGCCUGGAAGAGCAGGAAUAUGAAGAAGAGUCCUUUGGUGAUGAACGCGUGAGCUAGGAAUCUUUCCCAGUCAGAAUGCAUGUAGGGUUAAGGAAGAUGGCAUGGGUCCAUGUUAUCGACGGAGAUUUCCGCUGUGAUGAUUUAUUCUAGACUUUACCAUAAUGGUCCUAUUUAUGUAAGACGGUAUGUAAUGGAUGUAAACUCUUGAUAUUCAGUCUAUGGUGUACAGUGAGCAUUGAUCCUUGGGAUCACUGUGCACGUGUAACCGGUGGCUUCGAUCGUAUAAGUCGGGGUUCCCACAAUAUCAUACACAUCUUGUUAAGUUGAACCGUUUCUGUUGUGUUCCCUAAUCGAAAACAGUUCAUCCGAGUGAAACGUAUGCCGUAUAUCACACACACCUUGAUCUGGCUAACCGCUUCUGUUGCACUCCCUAAUAGCAAACAGUUCAUCGGAGCAAACUGUAUGCCGUAUAUCGCACACACAUUGAUAUGGAUACCUGUUUCUGUUGUUCUGCCUCAUCGCAAAUAGUUCGGAUGGAUCAACCAUAUGCCUUGCAUCGCACACGCAAGUAAAAUCGGAACCGUGUUUGAUGGCUCCGCCAUCGCAAACGUUUUGCAUCUUUUUUGACGUUUUUUUUACAUCACCAUUUGCAUUAAUGCAUCGCACACAGUUUCUUCAAAGGGUCUCCGAUCGUAGUGUCGCGUUAGCAGCAUCCUGCAGUAGUGGGCGGCCAUCAAGAACCAGGGCGGCCCGGCGACUUACAGCUCCUCCCACAGAAGGAAGGAGCGAGUUUGCGGAAGUACAUGCAGAGGUUCAGCCGGGUGCACAGGGACAUUCCAGACAUCCACAACAACUGUGAUAGCUGCAUUCUAGUCCAACAUACGCAAUCGCAGGAUACAUGCCAAGAUCAAUGUCCAGUUGCCCGAGAUUGUGAAUGAGAUGUACACUUUGGCGGAUAAGUGUGCCCGAACAAAGGAGGGGAGGCGACUCCUCGGCGAAGAAGAUGGCGUCAACAUUGACUCAGAGGACGACGAUGACGCCACCAAUCAGAAGAAGAAGAACAAGAAGCGCAGUGCUAGCUGUUGAAGGAUCGAGUGCUCCUAGUACCGGCAAGAAUGAAAGUGCGUUAUAUCGACUAAGGGGGGGGGGUGAAUAGGCGAUUUUUAUGAAUUCUUCACUGAGGAAUUUGCGAGUGAGGAAAUUCCUUGGCGAAGAACUACUUGCAGCGGAAUAAGUACUCAAAAGUAUGCAUAGCAGAACACAAGCAUGGUCAUCAUGAUGAAAUGAAGACAAGCAAAAAGUACAGAAGCGUAAACACAAGAUAGCACAGGAUGAAGACAAACAGGCUGAAGAAAUUGAACUGAGGAAAUUGAGAAAGUCUUCAGUCAAAGUCUUCAAACACAGAUAUGAACAAGUGCACAACACAGUUAUGAGGAAAUGAAAGAGUUGAGGAAAUAGAACCAGUUUGCUUCGUGAAGACAAUGAUUUGGUAGACCAGUUCCAACUGCUGUCUCAGUUGUACGUCUGGUGGGCGGCUAGGUAUUUAAACCCGAGGACACACAGUCCCGGACACCCAGUCCUGAACACGCAGUCCAUGACACUUAGUCCUCACCGUAUUCCCCUUGAGCUAAGGUCACACAGACCUCGCCCAAUCACUCGUGGUAAGUCUUCAGGUGACUUCCAAACCUUCACAGACUCGGUCACUCGGCGAUGCACAAUUUCCUCUU